rnacentral:rRNA from 1 species
UACGAGGGGGGCGAGCGUUGUUCGGAAUUAUUGGGCGUAAAGGGUGCGUAGGCGGUUUGGUAAGUCUUGUGUGAAAUCUACAGGCUCAACUUGUAGUCUGCACGAGAAACUGCCGGGCUUGAGUAUGGGAGAGGUGAGUGGAAUUCCUGGUGUAGCGGUGAAAUGCGUAGAUAUCAGGAGGAACACCUGUGGCGAAAGCGGCUCACUGGACCAUAACUGACGCUGAUGCACGAAAGCGUGGGGAGCAAACAGG